rnacentral:rRNA from 1 species
UACGGAGGGGGCUAGCGUUGUUCGGAAUUACUGGGCGUAAAGCGCACGUAGGCGGCUUUGCAAGUCAGAGGUGAAAGCCCGGGGCUCAACCCCGGAAUUGCCUUUGAGACUGCAUCGCUAGAAUUGUGGAGAGGUAAGUGGAAUUCCGAGUGUAGAGGUGAAAUUCGUAGAUAUUCGGAAGAACACCAGUGGCGAAGGCGACUUACUGGACCAAUACUGACGCUCAUGUGCGAAAGCGUGGGGAGCAAACAGG